UAGAGAUGUAGCUGUAGCAAAAAUGUAAUGGGCCCCCCCUGAUGACCUCUCUUUGAGCUGUGGGUAACAAUGCCAAGAUCCUAAAGACUCCUCUUGUGCAU